rnacentral:rRNA from 1 species
UACGAAGGGGGCUAGCGUUGUUCGGAAUUACUGGGCGUAAAGGGCGCGUAGGCGGUACUUCAAGUCAGGCGUGAAAGCCCCGGGCUCAACCUGGGAACCGCGCUUGAGACUGGAGAACUAGAGUUCGGGAGAGGAUGGUGGAAUUCCCAGUGUAGAGGUGAAAUUCGUAGAUAUUGGGAAGAACACCGAUAGCGAAGGCAGCCAUCUGGACCGACACUGACGCUGAGGCGCGAAAGCGUGGGGAGCAAACAGG